rnacentral:rRNA from 1 species
UACAGAGGUCUCAAGCGUUGUUCGGAUUCAUUGGGCGUAAAGGGUGCGUAGGCGGCUUUGCAAGUGGCGGGUGAAAUCCCUCGGCUUAACCGAGGAACUGCCUGCCAGACUGCAUGGCUUGAGACCGGGAGAGGUGAGUGGAAUUCCCAGUGUAGCGGUGAAAUGCGUAGAUAUUGGGAGGAACACCAGUGGCGAAGGCGGCUCACUGGACCGGUACUGACGCUGAGGCGCGAAAGCGUGGGGAGCAAACAGG